UGAAUAUGAUUGAUAAGGAGCUGCUGGUUUUGGUAACAAAUUACUGUAUGCAGAAGUUAAAAACUAUGUCACUUUUAUAGUAUAUAACUUCUCUCUCUGUGUGUGUGUGUGUGUGUGUGUGUGUGUGUGUGUGUGUGUUGUCCAUAUAAUACGGGGCAAGCUCUAAUAUACAA